rnacentral:misc_RNA from 1 species
CAGGACUCGCAAGACUCCCGUAAACCACUGUGAACUUACCUACAACCCGUUGCCUCGGCGGGUGCUCCGGGCGCGUCUUCGGGCGCUCCGGGGCGCUCCAGCCCGCCGGCGGCCCCUAAACUCUGUCUCUGUAACGUUGGCAUCUCCGAGCAGACUAUAAAACGAGUCA